GAUGAACGCUGGCGGCGUGCCUAAUACAUGCAAGUCGAGCGAACAGACGAUGAUCUUGCUCCUCUGACGUUAGCGGCGGACUGGUUAGUAACACGUUGAUAACCUACCUAUAAGACUGGGAUAACUUCGGGAAACCGGAGCUAAUACCGGAUAAUAUAUUGAACCGCAUGGUUCAAUAGUGAAAGACGGUUUUGCUGUCACUUAUAGAUGGAUCCGCGCCGCAUUAGCUAGUUGGUAAGGUAACGGCUUACCAAGGCAACGAUGCGUAGCCGACAUGAGAGGGUGAUCGGCCACACUGGAACUGAGACACGGUCCAGACUCCUACGGGAGGCAGCAGUAGGGAAUCUUCCGCAGUGGGCGAAAGCUUGACGGAGCAACGCCGCGUGAGUGAUGAAGGUCUUCGGAUCGUAAAACUCUGUUAUUAGGGAAGAACAAAUGUGUAAGUAACUAUGCACGUCUUGACGGUACAUAAUCAGAAAGCCACGGCUAACUACGU
rnacentral:rRNA from 1 species